rnacentral:rRNA from 1 species
UACGAAGGGUGCAAGCGUUACUCGGAAUUACUGGGCGUAAAGCGUGCGUAGGUGGUGAGUUAAGUCUGUCGUGAAAGCCCCGGGCUCAACCUGGGAAUGGCAAUGGAUACUGGCAGGCUAGAGUGCGGUAGAGGGUAGUGGAAUUCCCGGUGUAGCGGUGAAAUGCGUAGAGAUCGGGAGGAACACCAGUGGCGAAGGCGGCUACCUGGACCAGCACUGACACUGAGGCACGGAAAGCGUGGGGAGCAAACAGG